AGAGGAGACCAGCUGAGGGGAUACAGGGGAUAGAGAUUGGUAAAUUAUGUUGAUUUUGUCAGCGAAAAAGUGGAGGAAUGAGUUGCAGAGAUCUGGAGUAGAGGUAAGGAGGGUGUUGGUCCGAGGCUUGAUGAGGUUGUUCACUGUGGAGAAGAGGGUUCUGGGGUUUUGGCAGGGGUCGGUGAGGAUGGUGGAGAGUUAGGCAGACUUGGCAGCAAUGAGGGCAUCUUUGUGGGCAGUGAGGUGGAGUUUAUAGGCUUCAUGAUGGACUGUGAGAGAUGAUUUCUUUGUCAGAUGUUCAAGUUGGCGGCCAGUUUGUUU